UGGGGAAUAUUGCACAAUGGGCGCAAGCCUGAUGCAGCAACGCCGCGUGAACGAUGAAGGUCUUCGGAUCGUAAAGUUCUGUUGCAGGGGAAGAUAAUGACGGUACCCUGUGAGGAAGCCCCGGCUAACUACGUGCCAGCAGCCGCGGUAAUACGUAGGGGGCUAGCGUUAUCCGGAAUCACUGGGCGUAAAGGGUUCGCAGGCGGAAAUGCAAGUCAGGUGUAAAAGGCAGUAGCUUAACUACUGUAAGCAUUUGAAACUGCAUAUCUUGAGAAGAGUAGAGGUAAGUGGAAUUUUUAGUGUAGCGGUGAAAUGCGUAGAUAUUAGGAGGAAUACCUGUGGCGAAGGCGACUUACUGGACACAAAUCUGACGCUGAGGAACGAAAGCGUGGGUAGCAAACAGG
rnacentral:rRNA from 1 species